GUAGGUGGCAAGCGUUGUCCGGAAUUAUUGGGCGUAAAGCGCGCGCAGGCGGUUCUUUAAGUCUGAUGUGAAAGCCCACGGCUCAACCGUGGAGGGUCAUUGGAAACUGGAGAACUUGAGUACAGAAGAGGAAAGCGGAAUUCCACGUGUAGCGGUGAAAUGCGUAGAGAUGUGGAGGAACACCAGUGGCGAAGGCGGCUUUCUGGUCUGUAACUGACGCUGAGGCGCGAAAGCGUGGGGAGCAAACAGGAUUAGAUACCCUGGUAGUCCACGCCGUAAACGAUGAGUGCUAAGUGUUAGGGGGUUUCCGCCCCCCUUAGUGCUGCAGCUAACGCAUUAGCACUCCGCCUGGGAUACGGCCGCAAGGCUG
rnacentral:rRNA from 1 species